UACGGAGGGUGCGAGCGUUAUCCGGAUUCACUGGGUUUAAAGGGUGCGUAGGUGGGCAGGUAAGUCAGGGGUGAAAUCUCCGGGCUUAACCCGGAAACUGCCAUUGAUACUAUCAGUCUUGAAUACCGUGGAGGUAAGCGGAAUAUGUCAUGUAGCGGUGAAAUGCUUAGAUAUGACAUAGAACACCAAUUGCGAAGGCAGCUUACUACCCGAAUAUUGACACUGAGGCACGAAAGCGUGGGGAUCAAACAGG
rnacentral:rRNA from 1 species